rnacentral:ribozyme from 1 species
UCAAAUCAAAAAGAAAAAGAAAAGAGAAAAUGAAAAAAACAAAAAAAGAUCCUAGUACCUACCCUCUCUCUCUCCUUCUCAAGAUCACCAAUCCUUCGUUCUGACCUGUCUCAUCUUCCUCUUUUCCUAAUUUUC